rnacentral:rRNA from 1 species
AAUGAAUGCUGGCGGCGUGCCUAACACAUGCAAGUCGAGCGGCAGCGCGAGUAGUUUACUACUUGGCGGCGAGCGGCGGACGGCUGAGUAACGCGUGGGAACGUGCCCCAAAGUGAGGAAUAACUGCCCGAAAGGGUAGCUAAUGCCGCAUAUGGUCUUCGGAUUAAAGUAUUUAUACGCUUUGGGAGCGGCCCGCGUCGGAUUAGGUAGUUGGUAGGGUAAUGGCCUACCAAGCCGACGAUCCGUAGCUGGUCUGAGAGGAUGAUCAGCCAGACUGGAACUGAGACACGGUCCAGACUCCUACGGGAGGCAGCAGUGAGGAAUCUUCCACAAUGGGCGAAAGCCUGAUGGAGCAACGCCGCGUGCAGGAUGAAGGCCUUCGGGUUGUAAACUGCUUUUAUAAGUGAAGAAUAUGACGGUAACUUAUGAAUAAGCACCGGCUAACUACGUGCCAGCAGCCGCGGUCAUACGUAGGGUGCAAGCAUUAUUCGGAGUGACUGGGCGUAAAGAGUUGCGUAGGUGGUUUGUUAAGUAGAUAGUGAAAGCUAGCGGCUCAACCGUAUAGAUUAUUAUCUAAACUGGCAAACUCGAGAAUGGUAGAGGUAACUGGAAUUUCUUGUGUAGGAGUGAAAUCCGUAGAUAUAAGAAGGAACACCAAUGGCGUAGCAGGUUACUGGACCAUUUCUGACACUGAGGCACGAAAGCGUGGGGAGCGAACGGGAUUAGAUACCCCCGGUAGUCCACGCCGUAAACGAUGGAUACUAGCUGUUGGAGGUAUCGACCCCUCCAGUAGCGAAGGCUAACGCGUUAAGUAUCCCCGCCUGUGGAGUACGGUCGCAAGACUAAAACAUAAAGGAAUUGACGGGGACCCGGCACAAGCGGUGGAUUGUGUUCUUUAAUUCGAUGAUAAACGACGAACCUUACCAGGGCUUGACAUCCCUUAAAUUUUGCCGAAAGGCGAGAGUGCUUUAUUGAAUAAGGUGACAGGUGAUGCAUGGCCGUCGUCAGCUCGUGUCGUGAGAUGUUUGGUUAAGUCCAUCAACGAGCGCAACCCUUGUGAAUAGUUGUAUUUUUCUAUUCAGACUGCCCCGGCAACGGGGAGGAAGGAGGGGAUGAUGUCAGGUCAGUAUUUCCCUUACGUCCUGGGCUAGAAACGCAAUACAAUGGCCAGUACAAUGCGCAGCGAAGCCGCGAGGUGAAGCAAAUCGCAUCAAAGCUGGUCCCAGUUCGGAUAAGAGGCUGAAACUCGCCUCUUUGAAGUCGGAAUCGCUAGUAAUCGCAGAUCAGCAAGCUGCGGUGAAUACGUUCCCGGGUCUUGUACUCACCGC